UACGGAGGGUGCAAGCGUUAUCCGGAAUCACUGGGUUUAAAGGGUGCGUAGGCGGUCAGAUAAGUCAGUUGUGAAAUACCCCGCUUAACCGGCGGAACUGCGAUUGAUACUGUUUGACUUGAAUCAGGUUGAGGUAGGCGGAAUGUGGCAUGUAGCGGUGAAAUGCUUAGAUAUGCCAUAGAACACCGAUUGCGAAGGCAGCUUGCUGGACCUGUAUUGACGCUGAGGCACGAAAGCGUGGGGAGCAAACAGG
rnacentral:rRNA from 1 species